UGUGAAAGCACUUGUGGUACUUGUC
rnacentral:piRNA from 1 species